rnacentral:rRNA from 1 species
CCGUUAACCUAACACCAGAGCAUUUCAGGAAAGAUUAAGAGAAAAAAAAGGAACUCGGCAAAUUUCAACCCCGCCUGUUUACCAAAANCAUCGCCUCUCGACCCCAUGAGAGGUCCAGCCUGCCCAGUGACUCUGUUCAACGGCCGCGGUAUUCUGACCGUGCAAAGGUAGCGUAAUCACUUGCCUUCUAAAUGGGGGCCAGUAUGAAGGGCACCACGAGGGCUAAACUGUCUCCUCUUUCUAAUCAGUGAACCUAAUCUCCCCGUGAAGAAGCGGGGAUCCAAACAUAAGACGAGAAGACCCUAUGGAGCUUAAAACAUCAUACACUUGCCACCCCCCUCCCCCAACCACUCAGGUAUCCUCCCCCAAUGGCAUCCUGAUUGCAUGUUUUUGGUUGGGGUGACCGCGGAGAAAAACUCAUCCUCCACAGUGAAAGGGGCCCUCCCCUAAACAACAAGUCACAACUUUAUGUAUCAAUAAAUUGACACCAUCGACCCAACAAGUUGAUUAAUGAACCAAGUUACCCUAGGGAUAACAGCACAAUCCGCUUUGAGAGCUCCUAUCGACAAGCGGGCUUAUGACCUCGAUGUUGGAUCGAGAUGUCCAAGUGGUGCAGCCGCUACUAAUGGUUCGUUUGUUCAACGAUUAAAAUCUUACGUGAUC